rnacentral:rRNA from 1 species
UACGUAGGGUGCGAGCGUUGUCCGGAAUUAUUGGGCGUAAAGAGCUCGUAGGCGGUCUGUUGCGUCGGCUGUGAAAACCCGGGGCUCAACUCCGGGCCUGCAGUCGAUACGGGCAGACUAGAGUUCGGUAGGGGAGACUGGAAUUCCUGGUGUAGCGGUGAAAUGCGCAGAUAUCAGGAGGAACACCGGUGGCGAAGGCGGGUCUCUGGGCCGAAACUGACGCUGAGGAGCGAAAGCGUGGGGAGCGAACAGG